rnacentral:tRNA from 1 species
CCGCUUUUAGCUCAGUGGUCGAGCAUUGGCUUUGGAAGCCACAGGUCGGGAGGUUCGAACCCACCAGAGCACA